AAGUCGUAACAAGGUUUCCGUAGGUGAACCUGCGGAAGGAUCAUUAGAGAGCCUUCGGGCAUGACAUUCAAAACCUGUGAACCGCCUCCGGGCACGCCUCCGGGCUUCAAACAUGGUGUAACGAACGUCAUCAUUAGAAAUAAAACACAA
rnacentral:misc_RNA from 1 species